CAAGUCGAACGAGAAAGUCCGCAAGGAUGAGUACAGUGGCGACCGGGUGAGUAACACGUGACUAACCUACCUCUUAGUGGGGAAUAACUCCGGGAAACCGGAGCUAAUACCGCAUAACAUCGCAAGAUCAAAGCCGAAAGGCGCUGGGAGAGGGGGUCGCGGCUGAUUAGCUAGUUGGUAGGGUAACGGCCUACCAAGGCAAAGAUCGGUAUCCGGCCUGAGAGGGCGCACGGACACACUGGAACUGAAACACGGUCCAGACUCCUACGGGAGGCAGCAGUGGGGAAUUUUGCGCAAUGGGGGAAACCCUGACGCAGCAACGCCGCGUGGAGGAUGAAGUCCCUUGGGAUGUAAACUCCUUUCGACCCGGACGAUACUGACGGUACGGGUGGAAGAAGCACCGGCUAACUCUGUGCCAGCAGCCGCGGCAAUACAGAGGGUGCGAGCGUUGUUCGGAAUUAUUGGGCGUAAAGGGCGCGUAGGCGGUGCGGUAAGUCACCUGUGAAAUCUCCUGGCUCAACUGGGAGCUUGCAGGCGAAACUGCCGUGCUGGAGUGUGGGAGAGGUGCGUGGAAUUCCUGGUGUAGCGGUGAAAUGCGUAGAUAUCAGGAGGAACACCUGUGGCGAAAGCGGCGCACUGGACCACAACUGACGCUGAGGCGCGAAAGCUAGGGGAGCAAACAGGAUUAGAUACCCUGGUAGUCCUAGCCCUAAACUAUGGAUGCUUGGUGUGAUCGGUACCCAAUCCGAUCGUGCCGAAGCUAACGCGAUAAGCAUCCCGCCUGGGGAGUACGGUCGCAAGGCUGAAACUCAAAGGAAUUGAA
rnacentral:rRNA from 1 species